rnacentral:lncRNA from 1 species
UUUUUUUUUUCCUUUGUAAUUGACUUUUUAUCGGUGUUCAAUUUGCCAACGUAUAGAAUAAGACCCAGUGCUCACCCCAUCAAGUGCCCCCAUCAGUGCCCGGCACCCCAUCACCCCCCCCCCCCCGCACACCUCCCCUUCCCCCCGCCUAGUUCCUUUCCUGGAUGUGAUUCUUGAGGGCUGGAUGGCCUCCAGAGGUCGGCUUGUGUGCAGCCUGACAGCUGCCCUGGCCUGCCCUCUGCCGCUGAGCCCGGACCUGGGUAUGGCCUUGUGUGUUCCCCUUGCCCUGAGGGGACCAGGCCCAUGGACACUGGAGCCCACGCUGGGAGGCACGUGGUGAGUGUCACCCUACCAGGUCGGCAGGUACAGCAGCCUGGCGGGGCUGUCCCGGCUGGGUGGUCUCCCGUCUGGCUAGCAUGGAGGACGAAACCAGGUCGGGCCUCCCGCCUUAUCCGUCAUGUUGCUUCCCACGCUGUUUAGCCAGAGCCGGAUGCACUCGGGGACGUUUUGAUGCAAACAUGGUGUGAGGGCGACAGAGGAAGGCAUGACCCUGAAGCUGGUGUUGGACCUCCCCCCCCCCAUGCUGCUCCAGUGGGGCCUCCCUGCCUCUGCCAUCCAUGUGGCACAGGCUUGGUACCGGCAGACGCUCUGCAGGUCAGGGGGUAGGCCCCUGGCGUCUUUUGCCGACCGAUCCCCAACAGCCCAGGUUCUUCUCUCCGAGGAGGGGUCCUGGUGUGGGUAUAGCGGUGGGGCGGCUGGCGGUCUGGGGCAGGCUCUCCUGCAAGGUAGGUGGUUGGGAAACUGCCCAGGUCGGGGCCAUCGCGUGGCCUGGGUGGGGUCUCCUGGCAGCCUGCAGCAGGGGCCUAGGAGCCCUCCACCAUGUGCCUGGCCCGCAGAGGGUCUGGGUUGGCAGGUGCCACGGAGGGGCUGCCAACAGGAGCUCGUGCUCGAGCUCAAAGGCGUAGGAGCCCCGGGGGCCACCUGUCAGCUGUCCAGUGGUCUGGGGGGCCCGGGACAGGAGACCCCAGGCCGGCGGGUCCCCAGUGAAGAGGAGCUCUGCUGCAGAAGCAGCCACAGGGCUGUGUGAGAGGGGCCAGGCGGGGCCCCACACAGCUCUUGGGUCCUCCUUCACCCAGGGUGCUCCGGACCCCUGCCAUUUCAACCCCCAGGUGGUUGGGCAUCUGGCGAACAUGUUGCGUGUAGGGUUUGGGGGCAGCCCGCUGUUGCAUGUAGGGAGACGGCCUCUGGUGGGGAAGGUGCCAGGACUCGGCCCCGCCUCCUGCCUCCACGCGCCCCCCACCUCAGCCUCCCACAGCAGCUGCUGUAAAGUCCCGGGAAACCUGCUGGCUCAGGGCUGCCCUGCGCCCCGGGCGCCCUGCUUCUCUGGCUGGGUGUGUCAGCCCUCUGGGUCACUCAUAUGUGGAAUUUAAGAAACGAAACUGAUGGGCAUGGGGAAGAGAAGGAAAAAUACAAUGAGAUAAAAACAGAGCGGGAGGCAAACUAUAAGAGACUCUUAAUCGUAGGAAACAGAGUGAGAGUCACUGGAGGGGAGGUGGGUGGUGGAUGGGGUACCUGGGGGAUGGGCAUUAAGGAGGGCAUGUGAAGUGAUGAGCACUACGUGUUAUAUGCAACCGAUCAAUCACUCCAUUCUACCCCUGAAUCUCAUACUACACUAUAUGUUAACUAACUUGAAUUUGAAUACAAUCUAAAAAAAGGAAUGAAAAAAAUCACACAUUCUUGUGUACAGUGAACAAAGAACUCUGCAUCCAAUUUAAAAAGCAGUAAUGGGGCACUCGCUAUGUGCAUCAUCAGUUACCAAGAACUUGCUCACCACCAUCUUUAAGGUAUUAACACAUCACAAUUUCUAAGCUUUUUAUUAAAUCAGGGACUUCCGCUUCCUGAGAAGAUACAUACAUACAUACAUGGUGCAAGCUGAAGCCUCCAUCCCAACAACCAGAAAAGGCUGGUUACGCACAGACGUGCUCCUGGCGAUAGUCAGGAAGCUGUCAGAUGACCAGAGCUAGGUAAAGGAUCCGUGCAGAGGACAGAGAGCCCUUCACUGGGGAGGCUGAUGAUGGGGCACCAUUUUGUCCCCAGGCCACUUGCCGAUUCCAGCUCAGGACAUCAGCUCCACUGGGAUAAGAGGACACCACCACCAUACAGUGACACACUGGAAACUCAAGGAGGCCCAGAUGCAAGGCUGACGUUCCCACAGGACCUGUGCUUUGGCAAGGUGGGAGGUGAAGGGGACGGGACCGAGCGAAGGUUACCGUGGCCUCACAGUACCUACGGGAUGAGCCUCUGCUAGCGAGAACGGGUCUCCCACAAACACAGACCCACCCACCGGGGUGCUGCCAGACGACUGAGCUGCAUGGGGCAGAAGACUAAGUAUGACGCUCCAAAUCCCUGAAAGGACUAGCGUAGUGCUUGUGAGGCCUUCCAGUGCUGAGGACAAAGAGCCCGCUUCUGACUAGUGGGUCUCAAUCAAAACACAGAGUGUCCACAGGGGAAAAACAGGGACAAAUUACAGGGGCACCGAAGGCCAGCUCGAUGCACCAAAGAGAAGAAGGGACUAUCGACCAACCAAAUAAACCAUCUGGCCCUCGAUUUUCUUUCAUUCACCGUGUUAGGCACACAUCCAAAGAGUUACCAGAAACGUACACGGGAAGGAAAAUGCAACCAAUAAUUCAGAAUAAAAAUAAGCAAAGACUGUGAAGUAAGUAAGAUCAUCUUGGUAAGAAAAAACAGGUAACAAGAUGGACAGAAGUGGAUGCAACAGAUGGAGAACUGAAUGAGGAGAGUGUAAUGCAUAUGAAGAAAUCACAUGGAUAUUCUAGAUUGAUAAAAUAAACUAUCUUUCAUCAAACAUUCAUUGAUGGCUUAACAGAAAACUCGGAUGGCAUAGGAAAGGACAAGAUUCGUGGGUUCUGAGACAGAGCACACAGACAAUACCAAAACUGGAGAGUAGGCAGAAGAAGCAAUGAAAAGAACAGAAGACACACGGUCCACAGCAAAAGGCCCAUGAUACUUUACUUGAGGUCCCAGGAAAAGAGGGACAGAGACAGAAGCAACGUCCAGAGAGAGAACAGCCAAGGAUCCCAAACUGCAGAAAGACACCAACUCCCACAUUCAAGAGGCAGAAUGAAAACACGUGUGCGCUUACAUGUCCAUCUGCCACCACCUUCCGACUCAGACCAUGACCUCCACACACUCCUAGGGCACGUGAAGAAUUUUGAAAGACAGCAGUUAGGUCCAGAUGGUUUACAGCUGUCGAUUCCUGAUCCCUGGCUCAGCUAGUCCUUCCUGUCCCCGAAAGCUGACGAAAGCUCCUGAGGUAGCACCCGAUGCCAUUUCGCCCUCAUCACAUCCUACCCCACCGCCGCUUUUCUGUCACUUACCAGAACGAAGGCCUCCUCCUUGCUCCUCCUGUACUGUGCUCCAGAGUGAGUGGUAAAAGGCACUGGAACACCACAGAAUCCCUGUUAACCGCAAAGCCUUUCUAAAGUCAAGGCGUCACUGAGCCUGGGACAGAACAUCCAGUCUUUCCUUCUUUGCGUUCAUUUCCAUAAAAAGAGGAGCAUGACAGCAGACACACGCCACCUGGCCUAAAUUCAUCUGUCCUAAAUUCAGGGACAGUGACGAUGGGAUGGUGAGAGUGGUGGCGGUUCCUGCUGAGAGAUCCUGCCUCCUCAAUCCCGAAGGAUCAUCAGGGAAGGGCGUCAAGCUGACUGGGAGCCACGCACAAAGAGAACAGGAAAGAAAGGCUGCAGACAGCGGAAACUCAACUCACCAAGGCAGAAAGCUCACGGCAAAGACCUAUACUGUCUCUAAGCAUGGAAUUACCUCAGGUUUGGCUUAAAAAAAAAAAAAAAGAAAAGAAGAAAAGAAUCCCGGGAAAUAAUUCACACACACUAUCUACAAAGUCACAGUGCUGAGUCAGGAGCCAGAGCCCGCCCACUCACACAUGCCUCGGUCUGUCUCAGUUACGUAUUUUCUGUGACAUUUCAAGGAGGAAGAGGUGAAAGAUGCUACAUGAAUUUCCAGUAGACCAAUUUUAAGUCAAAGAAUCAUUUCUCAGAACUGAUAUAUAUAUAUAUCAGUAUAAAUAUAUAUAUACAUAUAUAUUUAAUAUUAUAUAACAUAAGAUAUAUCGUUACGUAAACAUUUAUGCAAACUUAGAGGAACAGUAUCAAGUUUUUACACACAUCUACCCCCUCAUCAGGAAGGUAAGCACCUUCCUGCUUAUUCAUUCCUAGCAUGCCCUUGUUAACAUUACAUGGACUUCGAAAACAGUGUAAUUCAUCCUACUGUAAUGACAUACUAUAAACAUAUAUAAUAUACAAACAACAUACCUAAUAAUCAUUCAAACUUCAUUUCGAAGCCCCACAGCAUAUCACUUAUGUUUACUAUUAAUUUCCACCAGACUUUACAUCACCCUGGUCAUAGUAUUCAUUCAUGGGUACAUGAACUGAAAUUUUAUAAACUCUCUCUCCAUCUUGCUAAGAGAGGCAUCCCAAUGGCAUUAUAUUUCAUGUUUAAAAAUUACCAAUCAUACUAUUAAUUCUGCAGUUUAUAUCAAUUGUGCAUCAGUACUAUUUAUGAUAACAAUUCUUUCUGACCGAUUUUCACACUUAGAAUACUGUAGCCAAAGACACUAAAACUUUAGAAACCUUACUUCCAUGUGUAUAUACACGGGUCUCUAUAUGUACACACAUACACACAAAUGACAGGAUACUUAUUAAAACAUCUUCCCAUUAUAAAAACCAUAAAAUAAAAUCUAUGGAGGAAAUGAAAGAGACAGGAGUUCAAGAAGAAAAGCAAAUAUAAUUGUUCUGACAGUGAAAAGGGAGAGCUCAGUCAGGUAAAGUUCAAAGGGAUGAUAGUGAGCAUCAAACUAUCAUGGUAGUAACGUCCUAUUGGAUACAUAUUCAAUACUGAGAUAUAAAAUACUUUUAUAAGGUCAACUUUUCCCAUACACUAGAAACUCCAUCCUGUAUUGUUGAUACUUGAGACGAAAAUGUUUGAGGUCCACUUUAAAAAUGGGGAGGGGGUGAUAGUUUUGACAAAUUAUGGAGGGAGAUCUUGAGCACUCUGCUGAAGCACAACCAGUGUGAUUGCUUGCACAAAGAACACAAGUCUCGCACCACCACCGUCAAGGCCCUGCAGGACACAGUGGCUUGGAUGCUCAACCUUUCAAAAAGCCCUCGUUCCCUCAUGCAAGGGUCACAGCCACAGUGGCCCUGCUCAGUGAAGCCAACACCCCAACAUCUUCCCACUUCAGAAUCGGCACCUCUCUAUUCCCUCCACCUGGAAUGCUCUUUGACAUAAUCCCUCUCAUCAUUCAAGAUUCGACUCUCAAUGCCUCACAAAGAAUGCUCGGACUUUUAGUUUGGUUAUGUGUGUAUUACGGUACUCUGCAUGGUAAUAUUUUGUGUCAUUUCUUACAACUGCAUGGGAGGCUACGACUAUCUCAAAGAAAAGUCUUUACAAAACGCUCUGGGGCUGCCUUCUGCAAAAGAUCUAUCUGCAACCGCUAAGCUCUGCCAUGACUCCCCCUACCCCUCGUCACUUCCUUGCCUGUCACCCAACAUCAUUCCUCCACACUACCCACUGCUUUCUGAAAUUACUGAUUGGCUCACUCCUCUAUUUCCUGAGACCCCACAAGGAAGUCAGCUCCAGAAAUACAGAGUCCUUGUCUUGCUCAUCACUCUCCCCCAGAACUUAAAAUGAGGCUGGGCCUCAGGAAGCUUUCACUAGAUGAAAAUGCACGAGGCAGAGGUGAUACCCAGUGACAGGACAGGAAGACCUGAUGUCACUCUGCUGUGAUAUGUUACGUACUUAACCUCAUGUAGUUCACUCCUUAUGAGAAUUCUGGAAGAAAGAGGAAUUCUCCAUAUUUGUAGUUGAGUGAAUGGAGCUUAAGAGGUUAAAUAACUUGGCCGACGCUGCAUCAGGUCGGCCAUUAGGAAGUACUGAUGAAGUACUUCAUCAGGAAGUAAUGGUGUUGUUCAAAGUCAGGUACUAGAGAUUAAUAAGCCUACACAGAGCUUUCCUCGCCACAAGCCCCUCACAGGGCUUUCCAUUUAUUGCCUCCAUUGAUCCUCACGACAGUCUGCAUCUGAUCACAUCAGGGGUUCAGAGCACGAAACCAGGCUCGGAGAGUCAAGGAGGUUUGUUCAAGCAAGUACAGCUGCUGUGGAACACAGGGAACUCGGGGGCUGCGACCCCAGCUCCAGCUCCCCCGGAAUCCCACACGUGCACAGACGAGAGACAGAGAUUUAAAGGAAUGCACACAAGGUCACGCAGCUGGAUGGACAAAAGGCUGAAUUAAGAGUAGGCCAACGACCUAUUAGUCAAAUGAGCUUUCCAGCCUGGCGGAUCGUGCCGCUGUCAAACACUUGAAAGUUUACAUUUACUACAGACUUUCACGGAUAAGAUCAAGAUUUUAUAAUGAACAUUAGCCAUGCUACUGAAAACAUAAGUAGACCGAGGUAAGAGACAGCCGACACGGAAUACAUGUGCUUAUGGCCACCGUACACCACGCAUACUCACUGCUCCGGAAGAUGACCAAAAUCUAACUGCAUGCAUGUUGGGCUUUGAUCUCUACAAGGUAUAAUCUUACUUAGGAAUAUUUAGUAUUAUUUCAUAACAUUUUCCUAUCUACGGACAAACAGAUCAUUACAAAUCAGGAUGAAAACUGUUCAUGAUCCCCAAAGCUCUACAUCUCUAGGGGAAGAAAAAAAAAGUGCGUCAGAAACAGAAAAAUCUUAUAUACCGUAUGUAUCCAUGUGCUCUCUGAUAAAUACAAAAGAUUUUCUCACCAAAAGAGCACGACACUUCAAUGUACUUGCACAAGGCUCACAUGUGCCUUAAAAUAAUGAACAAUCAGAAACUGAAGAACAAUAGUAAGUUGCAACAAAAAUGACAGAUACAGCGUGUAUCUGACUUUACUUUGUCUCUACCAAUACUGGGGGGAACACUCUUUAAUGGGGUGGCCGUUUCCCAGUUAACACUGUUCAAACCCGAACAGCAAAACUUUGGUUGAACAGCCCAAGUCAGGUCUCUACCCUAACGGAUCAUAAAAUGUUAAUGAUUGGAAGUUUUCUAUUUUCCUUCCCUCAUCGCAGACAUAAAAAGUUGUGAGGAAAAGAAAAGAUACUAAUGGUAUCCAAAACUCGGAUAAUGCUAGAUUUAACAGUAUGCUCAUGUUGCAGUCUGCAACUAAAACAAUUUGCAUUGAAAAUGGUAAGUAGGUAUUUCUCUCUAUCACUACAACUAUAAACAGGACAGGAUAAAUCAGACCACUGUGACAGUUCAAGUGGAGAAUUUAGGAGCAGAAAGAAGAAAGAUUUUCAGCAAUAUAUGACAAGUUCAAUUAUUUUAGACUUAAAUCUGGUAAAAAAAAAUGUAAUUAAAUUGAAAACAUGCAAUCAAAUAGCACAUAUAUAUAUUCUGAUAGAGCACAAGAUGAUGAAAGAUAAGAUAAUUUUCCUUAUGGAGAUUCCGACCUAAGCCCAAAUGAAAAGAAAAAGAAAACCUAUCCUCAUCAUGGCGGGUGACUAUGUCCUACAAAAAGAUCCUUGCAUCAUACAAAAAUGCA